rnacentral:piRNA from 1 species
CAGCUUUGGGUGCUGACGGUGGGG